CCUACGGGGGGGCAGCAGGCGCGAAAACUUUACAAUGCGGGAAACCGUGAUAAGGGGACACCGAGUGCUAGCAUCAUAUGCUGGCUGUCCAGGUGUGUAAAAUACACCUGUUAGCAAGGGCCGGGCAAGACCGGUGCCAGCCGCCGCGGUAA
rnacentral:rRNA from 1 species